rnacentral:misc_RNA from 1 species
UCCGGUUUGUCACCGGCAGUCACCUUAGAGUGCCCAACUUAAUGCUGGCAACUAAGAUCAAGGGUUGCGCUCGUUGCGGGACUUAACCCAACAUCUCACGACACGAGCUGACGACAACCAUGCACCACCUGUCACUCUGUCCCCGAAGGGAAAUCCCUAUCUCUAGGGGUGUCAGAGGACGUCAAGACCUGGUAAGGUUCUUCGCGUUGCUUCGAAUUAAAGAGCACGCUCCGCCGCUUGUGCGGGCCCCCGUCAAUUCCUUUGAGUUUUAGCCUUGCGGCCGUACUCCCCAGGCGGCAGACUUCCCGCGUUAGCUUCGUUACCAAGGAAUUGCUUCCCCGACAACCAGUUGACAUCGUUUAGGGCGUGGACUAC